GAACCAAACACACACAACACAAAGUCACAAACGCACUGUGUGAGAACACCAAAGUUUGAAUUUUCAUCGCAUUGUAUCAAAGCAUGAAACUGAGCAGAACCUCAAUCAUCUCUAUUCCUUUCAACAUCAGAACAUACUUGUUUCAUAUACGAAUUGAAUCAAUUGAUCACACAAGCUUGUUGUGAUGACCGAUACAGUUCUUUCGGAAAAUCGGAAAAUAUUAGCCAGGUGUUUCUUGCAUAAGCACUGCGACUUUUGUGUCCAGGAUUCACACUCCGUUGUGCAGUUCAGUCUCUUAUGAUCUCUGGAUUGUGGUAGAUAUACCAGUCCUGCAAAAUGGAAUGUGUACUUGUGUUGGAUUAGCAUACGAUAAAGGUUUCAAAGGAAUUCUCUAACGAAGAAACGAAUCAACUGAAGCAAAGUACAAAGAAACCAACUCUUUGGUGUCUGAACUAUUUCUCAUAGUAUCUAUAUGGUAUAAGAAUCAUAUAGCACUAUAUUUAUGUUGAUAAUUAUAAAUGCAAGGCUCGGAUUUAGUAAUUGAAUACAUGUGAGCUCUUAUAUAUGGGUACAACAAUUGCAAUUGCAGAAUUGAAUCAAUUGUCACACAAACUUGCUGUGAUGACCGAUACAGUUCUUUCGGAAAAUUGGAAAAUAUUAGCAGGUGUUUCUUGCAUAAGCACUGCGACUUUUGUGUCCAGGCUUCACACUAUGUUGUGCAGUUCUUAUGAGCUCUGGAUUGUGGUAGAUAUACCAGUUUUUUUGGAAUAUUCUUUUAUUGGUCUGAGAUUUACUUUACUAAAUUUUGGCACAUCAUAUGAAAUUUCAUGGAAUUGUUAUUUUUAGUUAUUGCAUAAUUACUGGGAAAGUUGACAUUCUUUUAUUAGCGUGGGUUUUGAAUAUAUCAACUAAUGUCCCUUUAUUGUUGUUGCUUGAACAUGAGAAUGUGACUGUAUAGUAGUAUAUUAUGUCUUCAAUUUCUGCCUUUGACUAUUGGUGGACAUGAGGAUAUAUGCAAAGCUCACGAGAACUCUUCAUUUUAAAAAACUAAUCCCCAUUCGACUUUUCUGCAAAUUGAUAUGCUAUCUUGCUUAAUAUUCUCUAACAAAGUAGAUAGCCAUAUGAUCUUAGCACAACAAUUAUAAAACCGAGUCUCGGUGUAAGAUGUGCAAUUCGUUGCUUGUAAUUUUUUUCAGUUUGAUGAUAUGGAAUCCAUGCUUUUUCAUUAUAGUUGUUUGUCUUGGCUUGAAGAAUUCAAAACAUGGUUUGAUUUAUUUUCUCUGUGACGACUUGAAUUAUUUGUUUAGGAGGAAACUGAUGACAGUGAGGGUUGGUAUACAAGUGGUAACACCGGCAUACAUAGGUUUGGCGUUCAUAGCAGACUGUCAUCCUUUCAGCGGCCUUUUCAAUGACUGUAAGUGUGAUACUGAAAGCAAGCAGUUUAACAUUCUAUAUGUUUGUUUUUUGUUUUUUACUGAAUUUCUUUAUAGUUGAAAACGUGUUCUCCGUCCUAAGCCCCUAUUUUAGCACCGAUGUUUUGAACGAUACUAUUCGUUUUGUUUUGCUAC